rnacentral:rRNA from 1 species
AGGGUUUGAUCAUGGCUCAGAACGUACGCUGGCGGCACGCCUAACACAUGCAAGUCGAACGAAGUAGCAAUACUUAGUGGCAGACGGGUGAGUAACAUGUGGGUAUCUGCCCUUUGGCCUGGAAUAACACGAGGAAACUUGUGCUAAUACCGGAUAAGUCUUUACGGAGAAAGCUUUAUGCACCAUUGGAUGAGCCCGCACUUGAUUAGUUUGUUGGUGGGGUAAUGGCCUACCAAGACUGUGAUCAAUAGCUGAUUUGAGAGGAUGAUCAGCCACAUUGGGACUGAGACACGGCCCAAACUCCUACGGGAGGCAGCAGUGGGGAAUCUUGCACAAUGGAGGAAACUCUGAUGCAGCGAUGCCGCGUGAGUGAAGAAGGCCCUUGGGUUGUAAAGCUCUUUCGUCGGGGAAGAAAAUGACUGUACCCGAAUAAGAAGGUCCGGCUAACUUCGUGCCAGCAGCCGCGGUAAUACGAAGGGACCUAGCGUAGUUCGGAAUUACUGGGCUUAAAGAGUUCGUAGGUGGUUGAAAAAGUUAGUGGUGAAAUCCCAGAGCUUAACUCUGGAACUGCCAUUAAAACUUUUCAGCUAGAGUAUGAUAGAGGAAAGCAGAAUUUCUAGUGUAGAGGUGAAAUUCGUAGAUAUUAGAAAGAAUACCAAUUGCGAAGGCAGCUUUCUGGAUCAUUACUGACACUGAGGAACGAAAGCAUGGGUAGCGAAGAGGAUUAGAUACCCUCGUAGUCCAUGCCGUAAACGAUGUGUGUUAGACGUUGGAAAUUUAUUUUCAGUGUCGCAGCGAAAGCGAUAAACACACCGCCUGGGGAGUACGACCGCAAGGUUAAAACUCAAAUGAAUUGACGGGGACCCGCACAAGUAGUGGAGCAUGUGGUUUAAUUCGAAGAUACGCGCAGAACCUUACCAACACUUGACAUGUUCGUCGCGACUCUAAGAGAUUAGAGUUUUCGGUUCGGCCGGACGAAACACAGGUGCUGCAUGGCUGUCGUCAGCUCGUGUCGUGAGAUGUUGGGUUAAGUCCCGCAACGAGCGCAACCCUCACUUUUAGUUGCCAUCAUUAAGUUGGGCACUCUGAAAGAACUGCCAGUGAUAAGCUGGAGGAAGGUGGGGAUGACGUCAAGUCCUCAUGGCCCUUACGUGUUGGGCUACACACGUGCUACAAUGGUAUCUACAACAGGAAGCAAGACUGCGAGGUCAAGCAAAUCCUUAAAAGAUACCUCAGUUCGGAUUGCACUCUGCAACUCGAGUGCAUGAAGCUGGAAUUACUAGUAAUCGUGGAUCAGCGUGCCACGGUGAAUGCGUUCCCGGGUCUUGUACACACCGCCCGUCACACCAUGGGAGUUGGUUCUACCUUAAGGCAAGGUUUCAAACCCUUGACCACGGUAUAGUCAGCGACUGGGGUGAAGUCGUAACAAAGGUAGCCGUA